UUCCAGACUCCUACGGGAGGCAGCAGUGAGGAAUAUUGGUCAAUGGGCGGGAGCCUGAACCAGCCAAGUCGCGUGAGGGAAGACGGUCCUACGGAUUGUAGACCUCUUUUGCCGGGGAGCAACGGGGUCCUUGCGAGGGCCCGAUGAGAGUACCCGGAGAAAAAGCAUCGGCUAACUCCGUGCCAGCAGCCGCGGUAAUACGGAGGAUGCGAGCGUUAUCCGGAUUUAUUGGGUUUAAAGGGUGCGCAGGCGGAUUUUUAAGUCAGCGGUCAAAUCGUGGGGCUCAACCCCAUCCAGCCGUUGAAACUGGGGAGCUAGAGUGUGCGAGAGGUAUGCGGAAUGCGUGGUGUAGCGGUGAAAUGCAUAGAUAUCACGCAGAACCCCGAUUGCGAAGGCAGCAUACCGGUGCACAACUGACGCUCAGGCACGAAAGCGUGGGUAUCGAACAGGAUUAGAUACCCGAGUA
rnacentral:rRNA from 1 species